rnacentral:rRNA from 1 species
GACGAACGCUGGCGGCGUGCCUAAUGCAUGCAAGUCGAGCGGGCUACGAUCUUCGGAUUGUAGCUUAGCGGCGAACGGGUGAGUAACACGUAGGUGAUCUACCCUUCAGAGGAGGACAACCUCAGGAAACUGAGGCUAAACCUUCAUACGUUCACUGGUAGGGAUACUGGUGAAGAAAGAGUUACCUUAGUGGUAGCUGCUGAAGGAUGAGCCUGCGGCCCAUCAGGUAGUUGGUGAGGUAACGGCUCACCAAGCCGAAGACGGGUAACCGGUCUGAGAGGAUGUCCGGUCACACUGGGACUGAGACACGGCCCAGACUCCUACGGGAGGCAGCAGUCGAGAAUAGUCUACAAUGGCCGGAAGGCUGAUAGUGCGACGCCGCGUGAACGAGGGACGCCCUUCGGGGUGUAAAGUUCUUUUCUAUACGAGCAGUGCUAUAUAUAUGGAUAGUAUAUAUAGAGGAUAGUAGUAUAGGAAUAAGCAACGGCUAACUCCG